GACGAACGCUGGCGGCGUGCUUAACACAUGCAAGUCGAACGGAAAGGCCCUGCUUUUGUGGGGUGCUCGAGUGGCGAACGGGUGAGUAACACGUGAGUAACCUGCCCUUGACUUUGGGAUAACUUCAGGAAACUGGGGCUAAUACCGGAUAGGAGCUCCUGCUGCAUGGUGGGGGUUGGAAAGUUUCGGCGGUUGGGGAUGGACUCGCGGCUUAUCAGCUUGUUGGUGGGGUAGUGGCUUACCAAGGCUUUGACGGGUAGCCGGCCUGAGAGGGUGACCGGCCACAUUGGGACUGAGAUACGGCCCAGACUCCUACGGGAGGCAGCAGUGGGGAAUAUUGCACAAUGGGCGGAAGCCUGAUGCAGCAACGCCGCGUGCGGGAUGACGGCCUUCGGGUUGUAAACCGCUUUCGCCUGUGACGAAGCGUGAGUGACGGUAAUGGGUAAAGAAGCACCGGCUAACUACGUGCCAGCAGCCGCGGUGAUACGUAGGGUGCGAGCGUUGUCCGGAUUUAUUGGGCGUAAAGGGCUCGUAGGUGGUUGAUCGCGUCGGAAGUGUAAUCUUGGGGCUUAACCCUGAGCGUGCUUUCGAUACGGGUUGACUUGAGGAAGGUAGGGGAGAAUGGAAUUCCUGGUGGAGCGGUGGAAUGCGCAGAUAUCAGAAGGAACACCAGUGGCGAAGGCGGUUCUCUGGGCCUUUCCUGACGCUGAGGAGCGAAAGCGUGGGGAGCGAACAGGCUUAGAUACCCUGGUAGUCCACGCUGUAAACGGUGGGUACUAGGUGUGGGGUCCAUUCCACGGGUUCCGUGCCGUAGCUAACGCUUUAAGUACCCCGCCUGGGGAGUACGGCCGCAAGGCUAAAACUCAAAGGAAUUGACGGGGCCCCGCACAAGCGGCGGAGCAUGCGGAUUAAUUCGAUGCAACGCGUAGAACCUUACCUGGGUUUGACAUGGAUCGGGAGUGCUCAGAGAUGGGUGUGCCUCUUUUGGGGUCGGUUCACAGGUGGUGCAUGGCUGUCGUCAGCUCGUGUCGUGAGAUGUUGGGUUAAGUCCCGCAACGAGCGCAACCCUUGUUCACUGUUGCCAGCACGUUAUGGUGGGGACUCAGUGGAGACCGCCGGGGUCAACUCGGAGGAAGGUGGGGAUGACGUCAAGUCAUCAUGCCCCUUAUGUCCAGGGCUUCACGCAUGCUACAAUGGCUGGUACAGAGAGUGGCGAGCCUGUGAGGGUGAGCGAAUCUCGGAAAGCCGGUCUCAGUUCGGAUUGGGGUCUGCAACUCGACCUCAUGAAGUCGGAGUCGCUAGUAAUCGCAGAUCAGCAACGCUGCGGUGAAUACGUUCCCGGG
rnacentral:rRNA from 1 species